GACGAACGCUGGCGGCGUGCCUAAUACAUGCAAGUCGAACGAAGCUGUUUUAACUGGUGCUUGCACCGACUUAAACAACUGAGUGGCGAACGGGUGAGUAACACGUGGGUAACCUGCCCCAAAGCGGGGGAUAACAUUUGGAAACAGAUGCUAAUACCGCAUAACCACAGAAACCACAUGGUUUCUGUGUCAAAGAUGGUUUCGGCUAUCACUUUGGGAUGGACCCGCGGCGUAUUAGCUAGUUGGUAAGGUAAUGGCUUACCAAGGAAAUGAUACGUAGCCGAACUGAGAGGUUGAUCGGCCACAUUGGGACUGGGACACGGCCCAAACUCCUACGGGAGGCAGCAGUAGGGAAUCUUCGGCAAUGGACGAAAGUCUGACCGAGCAACGCCGCGUGAGUGAAGAAGGUUUUCGGAUCGUAAAGCUCUGUUGUUGUUAAAGAACGUUGAUGAGAGUGGAAAGUUCAUCAAGUGACGGUAAACAACCAGAAAGGGACGGCUAACUACGUGCCAGCAGCCGCCGUAA
rnacentral:rRNA from 1 species